GAUGACAAUGACAAGAACCUUGAGAAGAAGAAUGUGAUUGGAACAGGAGAGGAAGUCAAGAAUGUUGAAAAGAAAGAACAAGGAGAUGCUGCAGGUUCUCAGACAACUGACAGUGUGAAGACUGGAAAAAAGAAGAUUAUAAGGAGGGUUGUCAAACAGAAGGUUGCUAAUAAGAAAGCAAAUACUGAGAGUACUGUCAGCAAGCAAAAUGAGUCGUUUGAUGCAAAGGACGCUGGAGAGGCCAAUGACAGAUCUGAGAUCCCUGUUGAGCAGAAUGAAUCUUCUGCUGAUCCUUCUGGAGUUAAAACUUUUGUGAGGAAGAAAGUUAUAAAAAAGGUUCCAGCAGGGAAAGCGACUCAAAAUGAAGAUAAGAGCUUGCAACCUGAGGUUAAAGCUGAGAAGGAAGUGGACAACACUGAAGA
rnacentral:misc_RNA from 1 species